AUGUGUGAGACCAUAAACGGAUGCAACAUUAUUAUGAACUACUCGUGUUCCGGAGAAAAAUUUCAAGCAUACCAGCACGUGUUACAAAAAUUUGCUAACUGGUUAUAAAAGUAGUAAUAAAUAAGCGGUGAAUCAGCGCAAGUCCUAAGGGUGGUAAUGGGGUUAGACUGAAGGGAUUCGAUCGCUCUAUAGAUACGGAUCUUUCAAGGGUUAGGAUUUACGCUAACAGUCAAUUAUACGGAUAGCAGCUAUCGAUUCUCGCGUCUAUCACAAAGAGGAUCUACGCUGUGGUAUAGAAGCUUAAAAAAUAUAUAUAUAUAUAUAUAAAAUAAUAAUAAAAUCAGUCCGAGUCGAUUAGUGAUCGGUAAAACUCGAAGCAGCAGGCACGCCGGCGAAAAGUAUAACAGCGGAGAACAAUUCGUCAUCGAGAUACUCUGAAGCCCAGUAACUAGCAUCAACAACACGACGCUCCCGUAUUAGAUGCCAAGUCUCGUAAAAUCACCUACAGCGCAUACGGACUGUAUACAUGGCAAUGAAGAAACGUACCACGUGGUCGAAACUCGCAACGAGCGUUCUCCGCCUCAUCUUCGCGCGACGAUAAAUAAGCACGGAUUCAGGCUUCAAGCCGUUUAGCGCAGCGGAUUGGGCUAAGGGAUGUUGGACAUACGUUACAUUAGUUAGAGCAUGUUCAGAUGGGAUAUAUGCUGUAUGAUGCAAAGCCAAAAAAAUGAAAAAAAUUAUAAAGGCAAUAAAUAGCAAUAACGUGCUGUUCGGUGUGAGCAUGAUCUAUAUUGUAUGAAGACGGAGCCGACAGAUAUUUCAGAUCCAUGAAAAUAAUUGAAAGUGACGUAUGUGUUUGAAUCAAAGAAAAAUUCAUUGUCCGUUACGUAUACAUUCGCUCUUCGUUCGCUCGUGUGUAAAUCUUCGUGUACGGACGAUUUAUCGAUCUCUACCAAAAUCGACUCGAUUGAACUGACUCGAUUAUCUUCAAUCGCAAGUGAUUUUGUCCAGUUUCAUUUUCGAUUAUCCCGCUCGUUAUGUAAUCGCUGCGUAUAAAAUAUACUUUCCCGAAUUUUCAA